UACGAAGGGGGCUAGCGUUGCUCGGAAUCACUGGGCGUAAAGCGCACGUAGGCGGCUUUUUAAGUCAGGGGUGAAAUCCUGGAGCUCAACUCCAGAACUGCCUUUGAUACUGAGAGCUUGAGUCCGGGAGAAGUGAGUGGAACUGCGAGUGUAGAGGUGAAAUUCGUAGAUAUUCGCAAGAACACCAGUGGCGAAGGCGGCUCACUGGCCCGGUACUGACGCUGAGGUGCGAAAGCGUGGGGAGCAAACAGG
rnacentral:rRNA from 1 species